GCUACUUGAGCCAGCUCCAGUCAAAACUCUGAAAGAAGCAGCAAGAAAAGUGCGGUAGUAAAGGGAACGGCUAUUGGACACACAUUUCCAAAGGACGCUCAGCAUCCAGCAUCCCUCUCUACUCAAAGGAUCAUGUUGAUCUAUGGCAAAUUGAAGAGGACAAAUCCCAUUUUCGGCUGCUUUCCUGUGCCCUGAUGCGACGGCAAGGGGAAAGAAACCAAACGCAACAAAAUUGUGCUGAUCUGCAGAGUGUGAUUCCACGACCAUGAAUUAACUUUUAGGGCUGAAACGUGCCAGAGACAGCUGCUGCGUCUUGGAGUGAGAGAGGAGAUGAUGGAGACAGAACACUGGCCCAGGCUGCCCAGGGGGGUUGUGGAGUCUCCCCUGCAGACAUUCCAACCCGCCUGGACACCUUCCUGUGUAACCUCAUCUGGGUGUUCCUGCUCCAGCAGGGGGAUUGCACUGCAUGAGCUUUCCAGGUCCCUUCCAACCCCUGACACUCUGGGAUUCCGUGACACAGACGAUUAACAGGUAAGAAGCCAGUUGGACGGCUUCUUGUGCAUCUCCAGCCACAGCACGGAGACAAGACAUAAGGUUGUAUUACACAGCUGAUACCAACCCUGUCAGAACUCAAAGGCAAACAAAGCAUUCAUCGACCAAUGGAUGAUGACCAGGCUAUGCAUAAUCAAGGCUGGUUUCCCCACUAACAUAAUUACUUUGCCUUCAUCAGUAGCUACUUUCAUUUCCCCAUUCAUAUUGCUCAAUUCCUUGCUAUUACAGUGUUGCCUUCAAGUCCCACUAAUAAGUUUGCAUUUCACCAUCCCACAUAACUUAGUAACUCCAGUAAACUCUCAAUUCACUGUUUACUAUUAUUCGUAAACAUUAGAACAUUAAAAUGUUUAUGAAUUGAAGUGUUUAUAAGUGUUUAGAAGAGCCCAAUUUCAUCAGCCAUCUCAAUCUCCCCAGCCCUCUGUUACUUGUUAUUUCAGCAGUUAGAAUUGGUAAACAGCUUCAAAACUUUUUUAUCCCAUGAGAACAGAAGUUAGCCCUAAGGAGACCUUUAAGAAGCUUUUUGAAAAUCCAAGUUACGGUGUAUCAGCGGCUCUUUGACUUCUUUACGGGACUGGAAUAAAUUUCUGAGACAAUCUCACGCAAA